CUCCGUCCUUGCGGACUGUCUCCCCUCCCCCGCCCCAUUCGGAACGGCGGUGUCCCCUGGGUGUCGUGGCUGGAAGGGGCAAGCCGGCCCUCCCGGGGCCAAGGGCCCUGUUGUCCCUUCUGCAGUCUCAGUGCAGGGACCUCUCCAACCACACGCUGCGUCUUGGAGGGAGUUGCCUGCGGCCCUGGGGAGGACCUCUCCACCACUGCUUUUCCUCAACCGUCUCCAACUCCUCUGUUGGAGGCAAGAUUAUCAACAAGUCGGUCGCGAAGUAGCCUGCCACGUUUCGUUCAAACCCGCUGCCCCCGGCCUCCCAGACCGCACCGCAGGUACGCGCAGCCGCUCUGUUUAUCCCGUGUAAGCACUUGGGAAGCGCUUUGAUGGAUGGCCUUCCAGAAGGUCCCCCAAAGCGUGGACAAUCCUAUUCUUAGGUGGGGGGAAGGAGGGAACCAAGAGCCCAGGACUAAGAGUGGAGAGUCAGACACUGUAGUUGACUCACUGAAGAAACAUUCACUCAGUUCCUUCUCACUCAGUCUCUGUGGGCACCCUGCAUCACCCCAUAUAGACACCCACUCCGAGUAUAAACUGCCCUGCAGACCAGUUUUCCGACCAGUUUUCUAGGGACCUCUUGCAUGCAGAGUGCUCACCCAAGACUAUUCUCCGGGUAAACUCUUUAGAGCCACAUCUGAACCAAGGAGACAUGGGGGGAGAAACGUGAAUGGGACUCUGUGCCUCCCCCCCCCCCCCCGCCCCUGCGAGCCUGGGGUGCAGUCAAGGAGACAGAUCAUGAAAUCAGCCAUUCUGCCCUCCAGCUGUGGUGCAAGAGGGGGUCUGCUGUAAGCAGGGGUAGAGGAAUGUGGAUGAGGCAGAAGGCAGUCGAGGCUUCCAGAGGAAAAUGGCCUCUGGGAAUGGGAGAGUAUUUCAAGUGUUGGGAAUCCCUUGGACAAAGCGGUGGAGAUACUUGUGCAUUCACUCAUUCAUUCAUGCACUCACUCAUUCAUCCAUUCCAUACACAGUGUCUUUGAGUGCCUACUAAGGUCAGACGGAGCAUUUGAGGAGGGGUAUACACCAGGGCACAAGCGAGAUAUUGGUGCUGUCCUGUGCGACAACCAUGAAGGGAGGAGGGAUGGUAAGAAAAUAUUGAAAGAGGGGGCUUCCCAGGUGACUUUCUCUCACUAAUAGUUUGAAGCAGAAGGAUGAGUCACAAAAUUGAGCCACUAUUCAUCAGCUGAGGUCAAAACAACAUUGAUUAUGCUAAUGCCUUUCUACUUAAGCCAGUCAGGGUAUUUUGUUCAGUUGGUGAUUCCAGUCUUUCGAUGUGACAGCAACCUGUCAUGUUUGUACACGGAGCUCUUUACCACUUAAAAAACGUUCUUCGUAUCACAUUUAAUGCCGUUCUCACAACUCUUCGAGGUGAAGGUAAUUGCUCCAUUCGACAGGUUCAGAGACGUGAGGAACUUGUCCGGGCUCACACAGCCGCUCACCUGGGAUUGAGAAGGACUGAGCCCCAGGCAGUCGUCCCGUUCUUUGGAAGGACCUGGGCAGGUUUUAUAUGUUGGAAGGCCUGCAUUAUACAUUCUGGUCUUCAGGACUCCUGUGCUCGGCCCUCUCUGUGUACCUCUGGGCCUGUAACCUCCUGGCCUUCCUAACACUGUGGAGCAUCACAGCCUCAUGGCAAAGAACAGCCUCUGGCAUGGGCCCCCUCCCCCCAUAGCAGGGCUGAGGCGGGGCUCUGGUUCCUCUCACCCUUUCUGGACCCAAAUGGCAACCGCACACCACAGUCCCUGGGAUCUGCCUACAGGGGACCGGGCAACUGCUCAGAACUGCAGGGCAAAUUUUGACCAGUGAAAGGAGGAAAGAUCCGGUGCUUGGAUCGUAGUGGUCUCACCGGGCCUGUCAGGAGAUUCGAGUAGGCACGACUGGGCAACCGACAGUGUGUUCUUCUGAAGACAUGGCCAGCUCAGUAGCACACAGCCUCGUGUUCCCUUGCUUGUUCCACUCCCCUCGCCCGCUAGCGUCUGUUGCCCGAGGGUCGUAUCCCUCAAUAAAGGAUUAGCAAGCAAGCAUUGCUUCAUGCUCUGUCUCCCCAGGAACUACAGACAAUUGGUACCACAAGUGACCCUAGAAAGCCGAUCUUCAGGAUGGAAUGUUGGAGCCAGACUGCGAUCUGUCUGGAAGCAAUACGAGCCCCAUUACCGAUGGUAAGCAGGGUCGUAUAUGGCAUAGAGCGACCCUACAAUUUCUGAAGCUUCACCCGUGGCUACUUGGAAUGAGCUGCAGGUAGAAAGCCAGGCUUUGGAAGGUCACGUGGCUGCCGUGCGUGAUCGACGUGGGGGAAAUGAUAAUCAUAAGGACUGUGGGGUUAGAUGGCUUCUGACAGCACUGGAGAGCCAAUGAUAGGCUCAGGGAAGCCAUUUGCCAACUGACAUCCACAAGACAGACUGUGUGAAGGUCAGGCUCCAGAACUGGUAUGUGGGGUGGCAGAGCUGACAAGGAGUCUUGGCGUGCCACCACGCAGGUGUCCCGUGUCCAAGUCCGGGCUCUGAUGGGGAGAGAGUUG
rnacentral:lncRNA from 1 species